UACGAAGGGUGCAAGCGUUACUCGGAAUUACUGGGCGUAAAGCGUGCGUAGGUGGUUCGUUAAGUCUGUCGUGAAAGCCCCGGGCUCAACCUGGGAAUGGCGAUGGAUACUGGCGGGCUAGAGUGCGGUAGAGGAGAGUGGAAUUCCCGGUGUAGCAGUGAAAUGCGUAGAGAUCGGGAGGAACAUCAGCUGCGAAGGCGGCUCUCUGGACCAGCACUGACACUGAGGCACGAAAGCGUGAGGAGCAAACAGG
rnacentral:rRNA from 1 species